rnacentral:rRNA from 1 species
UACGGAUGGGGCUAGCGUUGUUCGGAAUUACUGGGCGUAAAGCGCACGUAGGCGGCUUUGUAAGUUAGAGGUGAAAGCCCGGGGCUCAACUCCGGAAUUGCCUUUAAGACUGCAUCGCUAGAAUUGUGGAGAGGUAAGUGGAAUUCCGAGUGUAGAGGUGAAAUUCGUAGAUAUUCGGAAGAACACCAGUGGCGAAGGCGACUUACUGGACACAUAUUGACGCUGAGGUGCGAAAGCGUGGGGAGCAAACAGG